rnacentral:rRNA from 1 species
AUUGAACGCUGGCGGCAGGCCUAACACAUGCAAGUCGAGCGAGCGGCGGUCGUGUGAGUAAUGUAUGUGGUCUGCCCGCUAGAGGGGGGUAACUACUCGAACCGGUAGCUAAUAUCCCAUACUAUCGGAUAACCCAUAUGGUAUUAGCUCGUGGGUGAGGUAAUGGCUCACCUAGGCGACGAUCCCUAGCUGGUCUGAGAGGAUUAUCAGCCACACUAGGAGUGAGACACGGCCCAGACGCCGACGGAGGCAGCAGUGGGGAAUAUGGCACAAUGGGCGCAUGCCUGAAGCAGCCAUGCCGCGUGUAUGAAGAAGGCCAUAGGUGUGUAAAGUACUUUCAGUCGGGAGGCGUUACCGACAGAAGAAGCACCGGCUGACUCCGUGCCAGCGGCCGCGGUAAUUC